UACGGAGGGGGUUAGCGUUGUUCGGAAUUACUGGGCGUAAAGCGCGCGUAGGCGGAUUAGUAAGUUGGGGGUGAAAUCCCAGGGCUCAACCCUGGAACUGCCUUCAAAACUACUAGUCUUGAGUUCGAGAGAGGUGAGUGGAAUUCCGAGUGUAGAAGUGAAAUUCGUAGAUAUUCGGAGGAACACCAGUGGCGAAGGCGACUCACUGGCUCGAUACUGACGCUGAGGUGCGAAAGCGUGGGGAGCAAACAGG
rnacentral:rRNA from 1 species